rnacentral:lncRNA from 1 species
CGUUACUGAGCCUGACCUAGCUAGGGUUGGAAAACAUCGAAUCCUUGAUUUACCAGAGAGGUAUACCUCAGUAAACAUACCCUCUUUAGGCUUCAUGAUCAUUGUUAGUUACCCUAUUUUUUUAGCAUGGUUCCAACUUAUCAUAAUUUACUCUCAUAUGUAUGGUUGAAGUUCUGUUUCUGUUUUAUGAAACCUUAGUCUCUGAGCACAGAAGCUUUCUUAGGAUUCGGAGAAGAAAAAUCUAAUGCUGAUGCCAACUGUGGUUAAUUGGACUGCCUAUAUAUCUGAUUCCCAAAAACAGUCCCAAUUGGGUCUAUUUUUUGUAGCGUACUGAUGCUUUUAAUAUGCUAAAAAGUAUCUUUCUUGGGGUACGUCUUGCUUGGGUCGAUCUUGAAUAGACCCAAUUAUUUUUAAUUUCUUUCUUGAUUUUCUGCUUCCAAAAUGUCACCUUUUAUCAGUAGGCUUAUAUAUAUAUUAUUUAAUUUUAAAAAGAAAAUUAGUCUUUUGUAUUUAUUUCGAAUAUUUUGAAUACAGGUUUUUGCAAAUAUAAAGGUUUAGUUCAAUUAAAGCCCAGGUUGUGAUGAAAUAAAUCUUAAUUUUCUAACUCAAUAACUCUGAGGGUUCGAGCUCAUUAUCAAACUUGAGCUCUAGAUGUCAUAUAAUUAAUGUCAGCUUUUAAAUCCUUGAAGUACUUUUAAUGCUCUGGUUGCUAGAGAACAUUUUCUGUUUCAGUGUUUACACCUCUGAUUUUUGUAGCUAGGUUUAUAUCACUAAUUUAAAAUUCAGAAUAUUCUAACUUUUUAAUGUGUUUAUUUAUCAGGUCACUGCUCCUAAUAUCUGCUUCAUAGGUGAAAAAGUGCUGACCAGUUGCACGAGGUUUUAGAUCCAUCCUUUUGGACUUCACUCUUCAACUUCCAGCCAUCAGGAAUUGGGCCUGCCUUCUGAGAAUGAAGAUUUCCUUGAAUGUACAGUGCUCUGAAAAAUCUCUCCCUUCUCAUCCAUAAAGAUCACCUGAUAAAGACUCUGAGACAGUGUAUCACGUAACCAAACCAGUCCUUUCUAUUCGUCUGAUUACCGAUUAGGUUUUAGGGUUCAAUAUGAAAUACAGAGAGAAAAUGGUGAAUUUUGUGAGGCGGCUGAAGGCCAAGAUGAAGAGGACAAUGAUGCUCAUAUUGAAGCGCUUGCCUUUCCAUUUUCCAGAACAUCGAAUCAAUGAUUUACCAGAGCCUAGGUAUGUAUUUGCUUAUCAUUCAAUUUUCAUUUAUCUACCAACUCUGUUGAAUUUAUAACAUUGUACUUUAAAGGUUUUAUGAUCCUUGUUUUACUCAAUGUUUUUAAUUAUUUAGCUUGCAAGUAAGAAUUUGGUUGUCAAAAUCUAUCCCAAAAUCCAUGAACAAUCAAAUCCUGCAAAAACAUGGUGGAAGCUUUCAAAAGAGAAAUGCCCUAGUCUUAAUUUCUUACCAUGCAGGUAUGAGUAUUGAUGCUCUCUCCACCUGGACUUAAGUCUUUUUUUUUAUCCACGAGUCUCAUUAGAUCUCUUGUUCUUGUUCUGUUUCUUUUUUCUAGGCUACAGACAUAAGCAAUCACCUUUGGGCUUUGGCAACUCCCUGCCAUUAAAAAGUUGAAUGAUACAUAUCCUUCAUAAUCAUCCAG